AUAGGAAUGUCUUCUGCUAAACGAUUGGGGAGCAUAGAUUAGGGGAAAGAAAGGGAUCUACUACAAUCUGGUGAAAUUUUCUCAAUCUCAGUAGUGCUUCCAGAGCUCAAAAGUCCAGUUUCUUUUAACCUCUUAUUUGUCUCGACCUCAUCCUUGGCAUCAUUGUCUAUUGUAACCUCAUUUUCCUCAUUAGGCAGAAUGUUGGGAGCUUUCUACGAAGACUCUUUAGGUUUGUGUUUCCCUUCUAGUUUCUCAUUGUGCAAGACAUCUUCCUUACUUGGUAACGGCUUAACAACCUCUGUAGCAUCGUCCCCUUUACUCAGGGGAUGAAUUUCCACUGAGUUGUCCUACUCAUUUUUCGAUGACUGUUCAACCUUGUUUUCACCUUUCUUAUCAAUCUGCAAUGGCACAUGUUUCUGUGUUGGCUUUCUAACUACACUGUUAAGUCCUUGCCUUCUAUUGUAGCUUGAAAUAUCAUGUCCAUUAAGACGACAGUGAUUGCAAUACUUGGGGGAUCUUUCGUAAUGUACUUCUUGCCAAAAACUCGAUGAAUUAUCCUUUCCAGUACCAAUCCAGGUCAGGUCUUCACAUGGCUAUGACAAAUCUAUUUCAAAGCAAACUCUUGCAAAACUAGGCCGUGUGAAUGUAAUUGUUGGCAGGUCUGAACUGAGAUAACGACCCAGAGGCUUGACCAAUGCUUGUAAAUACGAAGGAAUGCAGAAAUUUAGGGGAAGUAAAGGGAGAUGAAUCCAAAAUGGAGCAAUAGGGGAUUCCUCAGUCGGUUUAAAAUCACGAGACCAUUUAAACAAUCGAAAUAAGGAGCCAUCAAUCUCACGAGAAUCCAGAGUCCAAGCCUUGUUAAAAUCCUCGGCGUUUUGGAGUUUGAUCAAUACAUGACGCCAAUCCAGUAAACUGACAAUAGGGACAGCAGACANGUCCAUGAAGACGACAGUGACUGCAAUACUUGGGGGAUCUUUCGUAAUGUACUUCUUGCCAAAAACCCGAUGAAUUAUCCUUUCUAGUACCAAUCUAGAUCAGGUCUUCACGUGGCUGUGACAAGUCUAUUUCAAAGCAAACUCUUGCCAAACUAGGCCGUGUGAAUGUAAUUGUUGGCAGGUCUGAACUGAGAUGACGACGCAGAGGCUUGACCACCUGUUUAGGCACUUCUCUUCGUCUACCCUUGACCUUUUCCCUUUGGGUUCUCAGACCCGUAGGAUAAUCGAUCAAAUAUCCUACGCAUCAUUAUCCUACGCAAAUGCUUGUAAAUACGAAGGAAUGCAGAAAUUUAGGAAAAGUAAAGGGAGACGAAUCCAAACUGGAGCAAUAGGGGAUUCCUCAGUCGGUUUAAAAAUCACAAGACCAUUUAAACAAUCGAAACAAGGAGCCAUCAAUCUCACGGGAGUCCAGAUUCCAACCCUUCUUAAAAUCCUCAGCGUUUUGGAGUUUAAUCAAUACAUGCCGUCGAUGCAGUAAACUGACAAUAGGGACGACAGACAAUCCCCAUUUCGUACUCAUAAAGUGACGAAGGACAUCUAUUCUAGGCCUUGUCUUAGAGAAUUUGGUAAUGAGGGCAAACUGUAGGGGUGCCUCAGAUCGCUGCAAUUCCAAGGGAGUGAAGAUUAUUGUUGGUUUACCAUCCUUAAAUUCUGGUUGACGCACUAAAACAGAGACAUCAACCACUGUUAUGUUGGAGAGGUCAAGGCGAUUUCUUCACCUUAUGUGGUCUAUGUUGUUCUUUUAUAUUCUCUUGUUUGAAUAUAGAAUCUAUAAUUUAGGCUCUGUUUGACAUUCAUUAUUUCAAAAAUUAAAGAGUUUUAAAUAGCAUUUUUGAAGAAUAUGUGGUUAAAAAAUAAGAAAAUUUUAUUGGGUUGUGUAGAAUAUUUUAUUAUGUGAAUAUAUGGUGGAAAAAUAUAAUGUAACAAACAAUUUAAGUCCCCGUUUAGCCCCCAUUAUCU
rnacentral:lncRNA from 1 species